rnacentral:rRNA from 1 species
UACGGAGGGGGCUAGCGUUGUUCGGAAUUACUGGGCGUAAAGCGCACGUAGGCGGCUUUGUAAGUUAGAGGUGAAAGCCCAGGGCUCAACCCUGGAAUUGCCUUUAAGACUGCAUCGCUUGAACAUCGGAGAGGUAAGUGGACUUCCGAGUGUAGAGGUGAAAUUCGUAGAUAUUCGGAAGAACACCAGUGGCGAAGGCGACUUACUGGACGAUUGUUGACGCUGAGGUUCGAAAGCGUGGGGAGCAAACAGG